AUGGAGGAAAUAAUUAUAAUAAUUAUCACUGCUCUCUCUGUGAAUACAUUUUUGGUCUUUCAGAACAGACUGGUGGAAUGUCAUCUUUACUACAAAAUACUGCAGUUUAAAGAGACGAUGUUUCAACAGUGGCACCUAAAACAGUUUGACAGAAGGAAUUUGCUGAGUGUUCAGGUUUUAUGUCCCAUUAUGCAUUAAUGGUGGGAUGGAAGAGCAGGUCAAAGAUAGGAACCCCCGUCUUGUUUCGUGACUGCCAUUUCCUGUUAAGUGUAAUGCCCUAGACACACUGCUUACCUCUCCUCACCUGCGUGUGUCGAGCAUCUUUCUGAAUCCGCGUGUCUCAUACACACAGGUCCACAACACCAUUGUUACUGCCAACCCUUCCUUUCUGCAUAGAGUUUACCUUUCAUAAUGGCCAACCGAAAUAAAAUCCCUUAUUUCAUUUAAUUUCAUAAAUUCAAUUUUAAUACAGCAGUUGAGGCGGAAAAAUGUUCAAGGUAAAAAGAAAUAAAAAUAUUAACUACUAAAAUGUAGGGUUUCACCAAUACCAGUAUUUGUCAGAGCGCUUCCAUUUUAAUACUCACCAAGUACUGUUACCACCUCUAUAGCAGUGUUUUGAUUACAAAAACCAUCCUUAAUUUCUAAGUAGAUGAAUUAAGGCAGUAAGAGUGCCAGCAUGGUGCAUUAAAUGACUAGAUAAAAUCAAUUUUAUAACCAACAUCAAAGAGACUUUAGGUUUGGUGUGACUACGCUCUUUCUUUUCUUCUCUUUCUCUCUCUCACAUACUUAAUCAACACAGACUAAUGUGCAGUGGUAUGGUGGAGUGGGUGUUUUUUGGUGUGGUUUGUCAGUUGCAGCAAAGGUUUCCUCUUUGUCUACAUGCCAUGGUCAUUGUCUGUUUCGGAAUUACAGUUGAUACAGGUGCCUCAAAUCAAUCAAUAAAGACGGAACACAUCGAGGAAAGGUUAACUGAAAGGUUUCAGAGAUACAAACAUUGUGGCAAAAGUUCGGCAAAAGUUUAAGGUGCCAUUGUUGUAAAAGAAGAAGGAAGUGGACAGUGACGCGGGACGUAGAAACAAAAAUGGAGAAAGCCAGACUGUCAAGAGCACAAGUAUAAAUGGCUCACACCAACAUCGGCUACGUGCGUAGGUUAUGGCAUCUAUUCUGAAUUAGAAUUAGAAUUGGAAAAAAACUUUAUUUGUUCCAGAGAGGGCGAAGAGCUGUACAUAAAAUUAAAGACCAAGAGAAGAAAUACAAAAAGGUGGGUGGGAAAAAGCAGCAUAUUGUGGCAAUAGCAGGCCUGCUGCCUGUAACAGAAAGAGUUGAGAUGAAUAGUGGUAAAUAUGAAAUUAAUAUUUGAAAAAAAAAAUACGUAUAUGAAUAAAAUCAAACUGAAUUAUUAUGUCCUAUAGUACCCUAACUGAGCUUCAAGGACUAAUGCUUUAAAUUUCCCAACUAAAAGACCCUCAUAACAGACAUUCAUUAACAGACUUACACCUACCGCCACCUAUCUGCACAGCUAAUAAGAGGAUAACAAGUUGUAUCACUUGUAGUUGUAUCGUAUUAGAAAAGUACCCUAUACUGUUAUGGGUAUCUGAAUGUAGCAGCAUAUAAUUAUGCGGCUGGGCGUGGCCAGGAGCCAAUUAUGAUGGGGUCGUGGAUAAAAGAGCGGCCCCUCCUACGCCUCCUCCCUCUGUCUCCCGCUGGCGUAAUUUCCGGGACGUCCUGUGUGGCUGCAACAGGGGCUGUGGGUGGAUUCUGGCUCCAUGUGGUCUCCUUGUCUGGUGCGUAUCCUCUCUCGUUGUGCUGGAUCUCUCGUUAUCAGUAGUUUAAUGUAGUGUGGUCACAGGUAAAUGCUGGUAGCGGCUCGCUGCUCUUGCCUCGUCUCACUGGUUGCAUGAACAGGUGCUGUACCAUAAGGAUCAAGUCCAUCACCUCCAUUGGCUCCCUUCCGUCUGCAUGACCUCUGCUGCUUUGUCCUGCUUCAAGUUCCUGUCCGUCCGUGCAGCUGUUUCCCGGCUCGGGUUUGGCUGGCUCCGGCGUGCUGCGGUGCUUUGCUGCCGUCCGUCCUAUUGCGCUGGUCGCCCACCUGUGGUUGGGUCGUUCGCCUUCGCCACGGCUCGUAGCAGCCCGUUCUCGGCUGCCAGCGUCCGCUCUUUUUUUAGUGAGGGUUUCGUGACCCCUUUUAUCUGGUUCACACUUUCGGAUUUCGUUUUUCAUUCAAUUCCGAUUGUGUUUAAUUGAUGCUGGCGAUUUGAUUUGUAUUAGCAGUUUUAUCAUUUCAUCUGGUGAUAUUUUAACUUUGUAUAUUUGCUGAUUAUAUUUGGUGCUUUUCUUUUUGUUUCAGGGGCUGACGGCCUGUAGUGGUGUGGGUGAUCGUAGGAGAUCCUCCUGUCUGCUGUGCCGUUUCCAGGGAUGUGGGUCGUUCACGGGUGUGCUCUUUUCACGUGUGUCUGGGGGAACUUUUACUUUGGGGACCCCUCCUUUCGCUUGCCCUAGCUACUUUUAGGCCGAAGCCCUUGAUUAACUUUUGUUUUUGCAUUUUCUUUUGUUUGGAUCCUUUGUAUUAAUAAAAUAUUAUUGUGACUAA